rnacentral:lncRNA from 1 species
UAAAAUUGUAAACUUAAGUAUUGUGCUUUCCCAAGUUCUGUGAGUCAUUCUAGCAAAUGACCACACUGAUGGGGCAGUGGAAACCACAGAAUUUGUAGUCAUUUAGUCAGAAGCACAGAUGGCCACAAAACCCUGGAGUUUCCGGCUGGUGCCUGAAGUGAGGAGGAUCUUGUGAGGGACCCAACCCUCAACCUGAGAAGUCUGUGCUCAAAGUCUGAAUAAAGUCAGAAUUGUAUUGAAGUGUUUAAGAUAAAUAAGGAGCAGAAAAAAGGCAAAAUUGUGUUUGGAAAACAUCAAGAGGGAAGACCACAUUUGGGGGACUACAGGAACCAAAAUACGGAGUUUGAAUGUUUUUCCUAAGCACAAUGGAACCUGUGGAAGAUUUUUAGCAGUAUUCGCAAAAAAGCUCUUACAAUAUUCCAUUCUGUGAGAAGUUUCGACCAAAAAGACAUCCACAAGUGCUGUCAAAUUGAAAGCACACAAGUCACCUUCCUAAAGAGAAGUUUUCUCAUGCCGUUUGCAAUGGAUUCCUUUCCUCCUGUCUCUACACUCCAGCCCCAGGCAACCAACGAUCUGCUUUGUCACUGUGGAUUAGUUUGUUUGAUUUAGCAUUUUAUAUCAAAGAAAUCAUAGAGUCUGUAUCUUUUUUUGUCUUGCUUCUUUCACUCAGCAUAAUUAUUUUGAGAUUUAUUGUGUUGUAGCAUGAAUAAGUAGUUAAUUUAUAUCUACUGGUGUGAAGUAUUCUAUUGCAUGGAAACAACACAAUUUAUGUAUCUAUUCACACAUUGAUGUACUUGGCAAGUAAAGUUGCUAUGUGGUGUUAUAAUUUGCAUUUUCCUAGUGAAUAAUGAUGUUCAGCAUCUUUUCAUAGAUUAGUUGGUCAUCCAGCUACUUUGGGGAAGUAUCUGCUCAAAUAUUUUGAUUAUUUUAAAAAAUUGGAUUGUUUGAUUUUUAGUAAGUUUCAGUAAACAUUUGAGUUUUUAGAAUUGUUUAUGCAUUUGGUAUACAGGCCCUUUGUGAGAUAUGUGAUGUGCAAAUAUUUUCUCCCAGUCUGUGGCUUGUCUUUUCAUUCUCUUUCAAUGACUUUCAAAGUGUUAUUUUUAAUUGUAAUGAAGUCCAACUCAUUAAUUUUUUUGUUAUGGUUUGUGUUUUCAUUGACAUAUCAAUAAAAUCUUUGCCUAAUUUCAUGCCAUAAAGAUAUUUUUCCUGUAUUUUCUCCCUGAAGAUAUAUAGUAUUUUGUUUUACAUUUAGGUCUAUUACUCAUGUUGAUCCAAUUUGAGUUAAUUUCUGUAUAUGGUAUGAGGUAUUAAGAGAGUUCAUUUUUUACAUGAAUAUUCAAUAACUAUAGCACUAUUCAUUCAAAAGAUUAUCCUGUGUGCACUGAAUUGCUUUAUAAAAACUCAGUUGUUCAUAUAUUUAUAUGUCUGUUUCUAGACUCUUAGUUGUUUCAUUUAUCUGUCUGUCUUUACACAAGUGCCACACUCUAUGAUUAAUGUAGUUUUAUAAUAAGCCUUGAACCUAGGUAGCAUUAUUCCUGUAACUUUAUUUUUCAAAGUUGUUAUGACUCUUUAUAUAAGCUUUAUAAAUGGCUUUUUGAAUUUCCAUAUGAAUUUUGAAAGUGGUCUGUCAUUUCUAUUAAAAAGAAGACAAAAACCCCUGGGAAUUUUAUUAAGAUUGCAUUAAAUCUAUAGGUCAAUUUAAGAAGAAUUGACAUUUUAAAACUAUUAAGAUUUCUAAUUCAUGCACAUAGUAUCUCUUUGCUUAUCUAAGACAUAAUUUUUUCAACGUUUUGUAGUUUUCAGUGUAUUAGUCCUUUACAUGUUUCCAGAAAUUUUUCCUGUUUCACUUAUUUCUAGUUUCUAAAGGUAGAAGUUGAGAUAAUUGAUUUCAGAUCUUAUUUCUUUUCUAAUGCAGAUCUUUCACACUAUAAAUUACUGAUUUAGUGGCAUGCAUAAAUUUCAGUAUGCUGCAUUUUUAUUUUUAUUUAAAAAUUAUUUGUAAUUUAUUUUUUAUUCUUCCUUUGACUCCCUCACCGUUCAGUUUUUAGAAGUACUUUAGCUAGUUCUCUCUCUCUCAAUUUUAUUUAAUUUCAUUGUGAUCAAAAAAUAUACUUUGAAUAACAAAUUUUUUUAAGUUUAUAAAGAUUUAUUUUCUGGUUAAGAAUAUAGUCUAUUUUGGUGACUAAUUCAUGAGCCCCUGAAAAUAAGGCAUAUUUUCAGUUUUAAAUAAAGUGCUAAAUGCCAGUUAUGUCAAUUUGGUCUCCUAAAUGCCAAUUAUGUCAAUUUGGUUUAUGAUAUUGUUUGGCUGUUCUCUCAUGUAUCUUUAUUGACUCUCUAUCUACUUAUCAAUUAUUGACACAGGAGUAUUUAAAUUGCCAACUAUAAUUAUGGAUUUAUCAAUUUCUCCUUCCAGUUCUAUCAGUUUAUACUUUAUGUAUUUUGAAAUUUUGUUGAAUUCUAGGUGGUAAAGCCCAUUAUCACUCAAAUUACGAUCAAAUGACCCAGUUUCUUGGGAAUGCUAACAUUCUUGAAUUUACAUUUUCUAUUGCUAUGCCUCCAAAUUAAUCGCCCCAUAUAAAGAGAUGCUUAGGCUGAGAGUAUGCCCAGGAUGGAAAGAGGAGACAAACACACGAAGUACCCAAUAGCAUUGUCUUCAAAGGACAGGCUCUGAUAGCCGCAGGAAAAGGGAAAAUUAGGUGAAAAAAACCUCAUCUUUUAUUAGAAGUCUUCUUUGAGGGAAACACUAAUUUUCAUCGUGAAUAUCAUUCAGCUGGAGGUGGCAUUGAAGAUUUAAUUUGGAAAGAUGUCAAGAAAACAAAGGAUUUCUCUCUGACCUCCUUUCCCCAAUGGAAAAGAUGAUAUCACUUCGAAGUUUCUUCUAAAACAAAGAAUAACUUUUCAAAAGUUUCCUUUGAAAUUGGAGUCAGUAAAGCUGAACAAAAAUAUCAUAAACACACCUAAUCUUUGUCCACUUCCCAAGCCUGUCCCAAUUUCUGAUGAAUGCUACACUCAGAACCAUUUCUCAUAUAAAGAGAACAUUUGCUAUUUAUUGGAAAAAGUUCCAUUUUUUUGACAAUGUACUGUAAUUCCUUGGGAGUAGGCUCCUAAAUUGUCAAUCUUGGCAUAUGAAAAAUUCAAACGAAUUAACAAUAAAAUUGUUAUAUUAGUCUGUUCUCACACUGCUGUGAAGAAACAUCAGAGACUGGGUAACUUAGAAAGGAAAGAGGUUUACAUGACUCACAGUUCUGCGUUGCUGGGGAGGCCUCAGAAACUUACAAUAAUGGCAGAAGGCAAAACAGAAGCAGGCACCUUACUCACAGUGCAGCAGGAUGGAAUAAGUGCAAGCAAGGGAUACGCUGGAUGCUUAUAAAACCAUCAGAUCUCCUGAGAACUCACUCACUAUCAUGAGAACAGCAUGGGGGAACCGCCACCAUCAUCCAAUUACCUCCACCUGUUCCCGCCCUUGACACAUGGAGAUUAUGGGGAUUACAAAUCAAGGUAAGAUUUGGGUGGGGACCCAAAGCCAAACAAUUAUAUAAACAAAGAAAUGGAAUUUUUCAGAUUAUUUUCUUCAAUUAAAUUAUAUAAAGUAUAUGAAGAGAAGAAUAUGCUAUAUCUUAUUUUCAGGAUAAGUCUACAAUAUUCAUUUUAUAAAUUAAAGAGUUAAUGUUUUCAUUCAAAUUGUCAUAACAAUCCAAAUAUAGGCUACCAAGAAAUAAACCUAAUAACAUAUAAGCAAGAGUUUAGCCAACACACACAGACACACACACACACACACAAAGACACACACACACACAUUAAUAAAACACAUGGAGGAAGAUGCAGAUUUGUGGAGAAACAUGCCAUGUUAAUAGUUGUUAAGAGAGAUACAGUAAUAAUAUUGAUAUCACCAAAUUGAUUUGUAUAUUAAGCAUAAUUUCAAUAAUUCCAGUAUAUAUGGAAGAACAAAUAACCAGGGAGAAUCAUGACAACGUAAAGAAUAAGAUUUCAGAAGGGAGACUUGCCCCAUAGGAUUUAUUCAUGUCCAUUACACAGAUCAAUCCCAAAUGGAUAAAUAAUAUAAUUAUAAAAUGAUUUCUAGGAGAAUGUCAAAGUAUCUUUAGGGGAGAG